GACGAACCGUGCGAACGUUGUUCGGAAUCACUGGGCUUAAAGGGCGCGUAGGCGGCUAUGUAAGUCGGGCGUGAAAUCCCACGGCUCAACCGUGGAAGUGCACCCGAAACUGCGUAGCUAGAGUCCUGGAGAGGAAGGUGGAAUGCUUGGUGUAGAGGUGAAAUUCGUAGAUAUCAAGCGGAACACCGGUGGCGAAGGCGGCCUUCUGGACAGUGACUGACGCUGAGACGCGAAAGCGUGGGGAGCAAACAGG
rnacentral:rRNA from 1 species